CCUGAGUGACUAGAAAGGCUGGAACCAGGAUCCACCCAGACUCCAUUUAAGGGCUGGCAAUGGAGGUGAAUGUAUUUCAUCUGGAGGUCUCUGCCUAUGUGAAGGUCUUUCUGAAGUGCCAAGAUUCCAAGCAAGAGCCAUCAGGAAGUGUUCAACCAAUUCAAGACAGAGUUGUUACAUACGGAAUGAAGGGGGGAAAAAACACCAGUGCCCCCAGAAUCACCAGGGAGAGGGGAGCCUGCAGGUACAGCUCUGGCAUCAGGGGAACCUGGCUGCUGAGCACAGAGGUGAGGAAGUACAGGAGCCUGAAGCACAAAUGGCAACGGUGCAGCAGGACCAUGGUGAAGCAGAGGAGGGCAGUUGUGGUGAGAGCAAACCCAGAGCAUCACUUCAUUGCAGAAGAGAUGCUGUCAUACUGGCUGGGCACAGCCCACCCCAGAGGCCCUGCUCAAACAACACAUUUCACAUCAGAGGUCUCGCCAUGGAAGCAACCUACUUAUAGCACCUUGGCAUCUGAACCUACAAAUGACCAUCGUCAGUUAUUGUCUUACCUCAACAAACGUGGCAAUUCAGAGGCUCCUAGGCACCUGUGCUGAACCCACCAUAGGGCUGGUGCUCAAAUUACACCAAGCUGAG
ensembl:lncRNA